rnacentral:rRNA from 1 species
UAAGACGUAGGGGGCGAGCGUUGUCCGGAUUUACUGGGCGUAAAGAGCGCGUAGGCGGCCUAUUAAGUCAGGUGUGAAAUCUCCAGGGCUCAACCCGGAAACUGCACUUGAUACUGUUAGGCUGGAGUGUCGGAGAGGUGAUUGGAAUUCCUGGUGUAGCGGUGACAUGCAUUGAUAUCAGGAGGAACACCCAUGGCGAAGGCAGAUCACUGGCCGACAACUGACGCUGAGGCGCGAAAGCGUGGGUAGCAAACAGAAUUAGAUACUCUGGUAGUCCACGCCCUAAACGAUGGAUACUAGACGUCAGGGGUAUCGACCCCCCUGGUGUCGCAGCUAACGCAUUAAGUAUCCCGCCUGGGGACUACGGCCGCAAGGUUG